rnacentral:lncRNA from 1 species
ACUGAGGUACUUAAUCGUCUGGACCUUCAGUGUGCUCAUCUGGAAGAUGUUGCCUUCAUACCACCUGGGCUCACUGAGAAGAUGAACCAAGAAUCAUGAAACACUCUGCAAAAAGACCAAACGUUAUACAGGAACACACCGAAAACCAACUGUGCGCAUUUUGGCCUGUAGACAAGAAAGUAACACCAAAACUUGAUGUUCCUGGCUAUGCAGACUCCUUGAGUGACGCCUGUGGGCAUAUUACAGGUGGGUUUCUGCAAUUCUCUGGCCUCUGUUCAUUCACACGAGCAAGGGCACCUGCAGGGAAGAGAGAUUCACAGUUAUUUGGUAUCUGUCAAUAAGCCCAGGAUGCAGAUCUUCUGGUGCUAGAGAGCUCUGUGCACAGCCACUCUUGCAAUAGUACUCCUGGAACCCCCUUCCCAGUUCCUUUGACCUGCAGAAAGGAGGCUGUGAUCAGGGCUGUCCUCACAGAACUUCUCACGCUCCAGCUUCCUCGUAAAGGCUGCCAGGGAAGGACAACUAGCAGGAUGCAGAGGCCCGAGGUCAAGGGAACUGGGAGGUGGGCCCUGGAGUCCUGGUCCAGACAGAGGACACUGCCUCUUGGGCUGUGUGGGUACGCGUCUGAGGCCUUGCCCUCUGCUCAGGUGUGCCUGAGAGGAUCGUGACUAACAUUUGAUGUGGGACGAGUUACCCUCUAUAACUUCAGUUUCUUCAUCUUUAUAUUGGAGACAUACCCAUAAUAAUGACAAUAAUAAAUUGCUUGUUUGGUUAAGCUGAUGUUUUAAUGAGUGGACUUGUGUCACACCUUAAAUGGUGUUUGGCACAUGGUAAGCACACAGGAAGUAUUCUAGGUACUUUCCAUGUGGUGAUGGUGGUUAAUUGUGGUGGUGGUGGCAGUGGUAACGGUGGUGAUGGUAAUCGUGGUGGUGGUGAUGGUGGUGGUUGUGGCAGUGGUGAUGGUGGUGGUAACUGUGGUGGUGAUGAUGGUGGUGGUGGUGGUGGUGAUGGUGGUGGUGAUGCAGACCCUGCCCUGUGCAUGCUCUCUCACGCAUCCCUCGCAUCAAUCUUACAGAUGAGGAAGUGAAGCCCCGAGGCCCAGAAGAACUGGGAGGAUCGACACCACCCGGGUCUGUCUUGACACUGGGCGCACCUGCCCUUUUCCUGAUGCUCCUCCAUAUCCCUCUCUUCUCUAGGUUCUCUCGGGCCCUCUUCCUGAACUCCCAUGGUAGGGAUUUAACAUCUACUUCAAGCGUGUCCAACCCAUGGCCUGGGACCACUUUAAAUGUAUCCCAAUACAAAUUCGUCAACUUUCUUAAAACAUUAUGAGGGUGGGCAUAGUGGUUCACACCUGAAAUCCCAGCACUUUGGGAGGCCAAGGCGGGCAGAUCACCUGAGGUUGGGAGUUCGAAACCAGCCUGACCAACAUGGAGAAAUCCCGUCUCUACUAAAAAUAAAAAAUUAGCUGGGCAUGAUGGCACA